GUCGGAGUGGUGGAAUGGUAUACACACUAGCUUGAGGUGCUAGGCUCGCAAGGGCGUGGGGGUUCGAGUCCCCCCUUCGACACUA
rnacentral:tRNA from 3 species